rnacentral:piRNA from 1 species
UGGUUUUCUGGUAAUUUGAUA